rnacentral:snoRNA from 1 species
GGAGUCAAAGUGGCAUAUUUUGAAAUAUAAAUUACGAUUUGUGUCUCAAAUGCUCCAAAAUCAAUUUAUAGACGAACGGCAUCCUGUUUAAUUAUUCAUAUUACAACAGAUGACUUGUGUUCGUGUACACUU